rnacentral:rRNA from 1 species
UGGGGAAUAUUGCGCAAUGGGCGAAAGCCUGACGCAGCGACGCCGCGUGGGGGAUGAAGCUUCUCGGAGUGUAAACCCCUUUCGACCCGGACGAAUGACCCGCAAGGGUUUGACGGUACGGGUAUAAGAAGCCCCGGCUAACUACGUGCCAGCAGCCGCGGUAAUACGUAGGGGGCCAGCGUUGCUCGGAAUUACUGGGCGUAAAGGGUUCGUAGGUGGUGCGGCAAGUUGGAAGUGAAAUCUCUGGGCUUAACCCAGAGGCUGCUUUCAAAACUGCCGUGCUCGAGUGCGAGAGAGGCCAGUGGAAUUGCAGGUGUAGCGGUGAAAUGCGUAGAUAUCUGCAGGAACACCCGUGGCGAAGGCGGCUGGCUGGAUCGCAACUGACACUGAGGAACGAAAGCUAGGGGAGCAAACAGGAUUAGAUACCCUGGUAGUCCUAGCCCUAAACCAUCAGGACUUGGGGUGGCCCGCGUAGGCGGGUCGUCCCGUAGCUAACGCGUUAAGU